rnacentral:rRNA from 1 species
GUACGGGAGGCAGCAGUGAGGAAUUUUGCGCAAUGGGGGCAACCCUGACGCAGCAACGCCGCGUGGGUGAUGAAGGCCUUCGGGUCGUAAAGCCCUGUCGGGUGGGAAGAACCAUCCCUGUUUGAAUAGAGUGGGGAUAUGACGGUACCACCAAAGGAAGCACCGGCUAACUCCGUGCCAGCAGCCGCGGUAAUACGGAGGGUGCAAGCGUUAUUCGGAAUUACUGGGCGUAAAGCGCGUGCAGGCGGGUGAGCAAGUCUGAUGUGAAAGCCCGGGGCUUAACCCCGGAAGUGCAUUGGAAACUGCCCAUCUUGAGUUCCGGAGAGGAAGGGGGAAUUCCCGGUGUAGAGGUGAAAUUCGUAGAGAUCGGGAGGAAUACCAGUGGCGAAGGCGCCCUUCUGGACGGCAACUGACGCUGAGACGCGAAAGCGUGGGGAGCAAACAGGAUUAGAUACCCGCGUAGUCCG